rnacentral:rRNA from 1 species
UUGCNCUAGUAACGGCGAGUGAAGCGGCAACAGCUCAAAUUUGAAAUCUGGCCCUCGUGGUCCGAGUUGUAAUUUGUAGAGGAUGCUUUUGGUGCGGUGCCUUCCGAGUUACCCUGGAACGGGACGCCANAGAGGGUGAGAGCCCCGUACGGUUGGACACCUACCCUAUAUAUAGCUCCUUCGACGAGUCGAGUAGUUUGGGAAUGCUGCUCUAAAUGGGAGGUAAAUUUCUUCUAAAGCUAAAUACCGGCCAGAGACCGAUAGCGCACAAGUAGAGUGAUCGAAAGAUGAAAAGCACUUUGAAAAGAGGGUUAAAUAGCACGUGAAAUUGUUGAAAGGGAAGCGUUUGCGACCAGACCUUUUCCUGGCGGAUCAUCCGGUGUUCUCACCGGUGCACUUCGCCUGGUUUAGGCCAGCAUCGGUUUCUGUAGGGGGAUAAAGGCCUGGGGCACGUAGCUCCUCCGGGAGUGUUAUAGCCCCUAGCGUAAUGCCCUUACGGGGACCGAGGACCGCGCUUCGGCAAGGAUGCAGGCGUAAUGGUCGUCAACGACCCG